rnacentral:piRNA from 1 species
UGCCUGGACCCAGAGAGUGUGGGACUCCCCGC